rnacentral:sRNA from 1 species
UUGAUUUGUGAUUUUCACAUUUCAUUAAUGGACGGGGCAACACAAAAACAACUUCGAUUUUUAGUUAAUUCUUGGCUCUCGCAUGGAGUAGAAGUGUUGUGUGGAUGGAUACUCGUCGUCUCGCGGUCUUCUUUUGGUUUCUGCUUCUGCUUCUUCUUCUUUGUGUUAUUGUGUGAUUAUCGCCGUCGUUGCCGUUUUACAACAAAAAGAAAAAAUAGUUUGGAAGAAGAAGACUGCAGUGCAAUUGUAUCUAACUAAAAUUUUAAAUAAAACUCAGCAGAGUGGCUGACGAACGGAUUCGAUUUUUUUUGUAUUGAGACGUUUAAACAAAUGCCGAUACGAAGAUGUUGGCAAAACAUAAGUGAAAUAAAAACAAAAGCAUGAGUAAUGGAAUGUAAAUGAAUUAUGGAAUGAGAAAUAAAACGUGAUUUAAUAAAAAAUAAAGAAACAAACAAAAACACGUGUGAUAAAAGAGCAACAAAAAAA